rnacentral:lncRNA from 1 species
AUUUGCAGGAGGUUUGGACUUAAACUUCUCAGUGUCCAAGAGCUGCUGCUUUUCUAAAGGAAGCAGCUGAAGUGAUGCUAAAUAUUCUUUAAAGAGCAUCUAACAACGAUGCGGAUGCGUGAUGCUGACCGGAACUGGAAAACUAGGACUGCUUUUCUCCCCUUUCACUCCCUAGCAACAGAGUAAAACAGGAAGCCCGAGGGCAAGAGAGUCUGGGAAGUGCAGGCUGUAAAGUUCCAGCAUAGACCUGAGUGGAGAAGAGCAUGUUUGGUGUGGAGCAGUAGUAGAGUUAAUGAGGCAGCAUAGUCCGUCACACAGAGCCAGGCAGGAAGUGACAUAGCAGGCAGACUCAUAUAUAAGCAGGGACAAACAGGAAGUCACUCUCUUGAUCCUCCUCUCUACUCUGAAGCCGCCAUGUGAUUCCUGCAAGAGAAGAUGCCUGCAGCUGGCGUCUGAUAAGGUAAGUCUUUAUGGUUGAUACUUAAGACUGAGCUAGCAAGUAAGAAAUCCUAGUCAAUUGGCCAGCAGCAUUGUAACUAAUAUAAGACUCUGUGUUAUACUUGGCGCCAAUGUGGCGGCGGGACUCCGGGACUCGGGUGGCUUCGAGUAAAGACUUACCAUUACAGUGUCUUUAAAGUGUUGCUCCAGUGUUUUCUACCCCAAACUGGAAUUGCCUGGGAGAUGCCAGCAGGACUUUCGUGCUCCUGCUUUUCCAUGGGACAUUUUCCUUUCAUUCCAUGUUUAUGAGCUCCGUAUGGUAUUGACUAGUUUGAUUUACUUCUUGGCAUAGUCAAACCUGCUCAAGCUCAGGAAACAGGCCUGCACUGAAAUUUUCAUUAUUUUUUCUUUGGUGGAGUGGUUGUACUUUUAAAUGUCUCAUGGUUCCACAAUUAUACUUACUGUUAAUCCCAUCAGACAAAAAUAAGAUCAUUACCAAAAUUUUAGGCCAAAUUUGAAGCUAGCAUUAACUAAAUUCUGGCCAGGAUAAUGCCCAGUUCUGGGGUUCCCAGAAAAUGGUGGCAUGCCACAUUUUGCAGAGGCUUAUAAAGGCAAACCCAUAAGACUAUGUAUUUCACACCAAUCAGGGGCAAGCAUAUAUCGUGAUGUGUUUCUUGCCCAGGUACCUCCCACCUUCAUGUGACAAUCCUCUGUAGUUGGGUCAAACAAACUUGCUUAGGAGGCUGAAAACCUGUGGUUUGUUAUCUCCCAUAAGCAGUAGCCUCCAGUGUUUCAGGAAGUUACCAGCCUUUGGGCAAGGGUCAGAGGCAUUUUUGUUUUACGGAUCUCUUAGGCACAGUAAUUAAAACUGAAAACAUAACUUCAGCUCUCACAAGACAUUGGAGUUCCUUUGUUAGCUUGGUAUUUGCAUUAAUUUCUCCCGGUCCUUUUCUGUUUCUGUGCUUCAAAAUUGUCUAUCUAACCCUGGGCCUCAAGCAUUCUGUGUGCAGUCUUCCACUUAGCUACCACCAUCUCCUCUGUUCUCCAUUUCCGUCAUUGUGCAUUAUGGCAUCUACUUGGCUAACCUUUGGAUAUACUUUUGAUUUUGCGCCAUUUACACAUUUUUCUACUAAUCUUCAGACACAUAUUAAUUCUUAUUCCCUGUCUUUGUGUGUCUUUACACAAAUAUACUUUUAGAGAGCUGGCUGUAAGGAAAGGUGUGUCUUGAAUUUCCUGUAUUGGAAUCUUUUCUUCAUGGGGCUACUAAAGGGCUCUAGCAGGCCCUAGUGUGACGAACACGGUGCUGACAAGUUCUGCCUUUUCCCUCUCUCCCCCUUGCUAAAAACUGGUAGAUUUCAUCCCUAAAGCUAGCCACCAAGGUCUAUUCCCUUAUUUGACCACUGACUCAUUCCUGAGACUGAUAACCAAAGUCCAACUAUCAAAAGCUCAAGGUCCAUCAGUAAAACUCAUUAUUUUGAUUCCUCUAAUUAAAAUACCCAACCAGAACUAACCAAACCAUCCGAGCUCAUUCUAACAUUUUUUUUCUUUUUAAAAUGAACACCUACAAGAGCUGUUUGAGGCUGUUUCUGCCUGAUUCUGAUUCAGCCAGCAUAUUUCUUGCUUAAUAAAGGGUCUCUUUGUGCUGGAUUGUGGUUGGAAAUUUGUGUUUGGGUGUGGUCCGUGCCUAAUCCGGGGUGCAGAGGGGAGCACCUGCGGUACGCAGGUCCCUUAAGCUACCACCUGCAUAGCCAAUCCAGCAUUUAACUUACUUUGUAAGCGAGCUCUCUGACCUUUUGAUCAAAGCAGAACACAGAAGUUAUUGGAGACCAGGAAAUGGGGACUGGAUCUUUAUUCUGAUUAUCUGGCUACAGGAUUCUGCUAAGUGUUGGCUCCAGUUAGCUCUUUGGGUGACCUUGAAGACGUUGCGCAGAGCACUUUGUGACAUCCACCGAAAAUGACUUUGAAGAUCUUUGGAUCGUACUGAAACUCAGUAGUUCAUGCCCCAGCAUUUGUGAUGCUUCCUUCCCCAAAUGUUCCCCCAUCUCUGCCAGAGGUUCCGAGUGGUAGCUGUGGAAAUCCAUACUUCAGAGUCAGCUAUUUUCAACUUCAAUUAUCCAAACACCAUCCCUUCUUCAGUUCUGUUACAUUUUGCCCUUUAAGACUAUCAACUUCCUAACACUGAAACACUAACCCAUUUUCUUUUGAGUAAAUGUCAGGGCACUAAGUGUCUCCAGGUCAUGAGGAGGGCCUUUUGUCUUCUUUCUGUGAGUGCGGCAUUAGAGCCUGGGAGAGAUGCACUUUCUUAACACACUGCAUUACGAGGCUCUUCAGUUUUUUAUGGCCUAUCUUAGGGCACAACCCUUGGUCUAACUGUAGAGAGUCAUGCUUAGGUGAACGUGUAACAAAUGCUAUGAUUACCAUGACACAUUAGUUCUCUGUGGUCAAUGGAUGCUUUGUCAGAACUUCUGUUGUAGUCAGUGUUCUGUUGUUGUGGAGAGACACCAUGACCACGGCAAUUCUUUUAAAAGAAACCAUUUAAUUGGGGCUUGCCUACAGUUUUAUCAGUUUAGUCCAUUAUCAGCAUGGCGGGGAGCAUGGCAGCAGGCAGGGAGAGACACUGGUCCUGGCUUGGGUUUUUGAAAUCCCAGAGUCCAUCCCCAGUGACACACCUCCUCUAACAAGGCCUCACCUCCUAAUCUUUCUCAAGUCGCACCGCUCCCUGAUGACUAAGCAUUCAAAUAUAUGAGCCUGUGUGGGCCGUUCUUAUUCAAACCACAACAUCUUCUAAAAAUCAAAUGAACAGCAGUAAGAUAGGAUGAGAAGGUUGUUGUUCGUCCAUUCCUUUAGAGGAUAAUCAGUGCCUUGCUCGUGCUGAGCAUACACUACCACAGAGGUUUAUCACUAAGCUCAAAAAUGAAAGACAAACUCCCUAAAGGGUGAGCAGGAGCCUUCCAGUCACAACGAAGGUCCUGAACCCACACAAAAUGAAAGAGGAGGGAAAUUGAGCAGGGAGAAUUUGGCGUCACAGUAGCCGUUGUGAGAAACUCUUGACUGGUCAUUUGAAAACACACAAGCCAAGCAGCUCAUUAGAGGCUUGCAGGAGGCUACAGUGACUUGAUUCCCACAUUGCUGCCUUCACUGCCUCUGUCACAGCAACUCAGGGAUGAUGCAGAUCAUGAGUGAUCUGGCUCAUUCCAAAGUGUGGCAGUUGGAGGUUGUCAAUCAGUCAUAAUUCCUCAUAGCAGAUUCUUGUCAAGUCACAUCUGAGCAGGUCACCUUUUAUGAGUGUUCUGAUGCUGGCCCGAUAAAUUUAGCCAGUUCUUAUAAAAAAGCUAUUUUAUUACUUUUCUUGUAUUAAAGCAGUUUUAAGAAAGUCUUCUUCAUGCGGGAGAAGAAUUGCAGCAGGGGUGAAAUAAUGGGUGUUGACCAGUCCGAAAAUGUCUACUAGGAAUCUAGAUGUUAUUUUAAUUAGAGAAUGUGAAAGAAGUUGAAAAUAUCGUUCAUCAUUAACAUUGCAGUGGCCACAACUUAGACAUGUCACUGGGUGACUUUCUGUAGUCUCUGAAUUUGUUAGAAACGAAGCCCCGAUUACCAGCUGAAAAGUGGCCUUCCCAUAGGUGGAUUUAUCAGUUUCUGAUUCAUUCUUUGGACCCUUCUGAUUUUGAUCUACAAACAAUAUUUUCCAUGGAAUCAGCUACCUCCAAGAGGAUCAGAAAAAUCUCCUAGCAGGGAAAUCAAGCUACCUGCAGCCUAAUUCUGCUUGUUACAACACAGCUGUGAGACCUUGAGGGACGCACUCCAGCCCCAGGUUUCAGAGUCCACAUCCAUGAGAUGAGUCUAAGAUAAGACUGUCUCUAGGCUUCAUCCAGGCUUCAUCCAGGCUAUGGAAUAUCUCAGUUGAAGUUGUAGAUUAUGAAUCAGAUCUAUCCAUAUUUUUUAUCAACAUCAAAAAUAAAGACAUGAGGAUCAUAUUCAGGAAGUGUAUAGAAAACAAGUAUUUUGGAAAAUUGGAUUAAUAAGACUAUUUUCUAGGAUGGGGUCUAGGGUAAUUUGUUGGUUCCUGUGUGUUAAGGUUUAAUAUUCAUAGGGUGAAUUUAUUUUACAAUAAAAUUUAUAUUUUACAACCCUUUAGAAUUGUUGAAUUAUUGCAACGAUAAUAGAGUUCUUACUCAUUUGUGAUUUGGAUUUAGGUUUUGAGAAGAAUAUUAAUGACAAUUGAUGCAGUGGUGGAAGCCAUGCUGUCACCCUUGGGAACGGUGCAUAGGUGUGUUGCAAAUGGAGUUCCUUAGACGGCAAGGGCCUUUGGAGAAUCCCAUCCAUUUGGCAAGGACCUAUGGGUACAUACUGCAAACUCCUGCGCUGACCUUAGGGAGCUCAUGGGCUUCAGGCUUCUUUAACUUUUGCUAUACUUAUUCUUAUGGAAAUUCUUAGUUUUGCCUUGGUAGUCAUGAUUAUGCCUGAGUUUACUGGGAACAAAAGCCUUUACAGAAACCAAAUUUCUCUGAUCUGUUACAGAAACCAGUUUCCCCAGUUGUUCCUGUCUGCCUUUUCAGUCAUCCUGAAUAAGCAGGAGGAACUCACUAAGGUUAAUGAUUAUUGCUUAUUCAAUACCAAAGAGAGAUAAAUAUAUUCCAAAGAACAAAAGAAACAAGAAAAUAAUUUCUUAAAGACAUUAAAAACCUGUAGGAACACAGAAGGAAAAAGAGACAGGACAUGAAAGGUCAGAUAUUUCUCUGGCACCAGGAUAUGAACACUCAGAUACUUUUCCAAUAUCAAAGUAUCAAUAAAGGAAUCUAAGACUCCCAGUUCCUCUUAAAGAAGUACAUUUAGAAAUUGGCAGGAAGAACAAAGUUAAAGAGUUAGGUAUUAAUCAUUAUUUUGAGAACUUAUAAAGAAUAAGAUUAUAACUGCUAUCCAUAUAAUAAAGGUGAUAUAUAGAUUACUCAGAAACCAGUAUACACCUGAAAAUGAUACUCUAGGCAUCACAAUAUAUUCAGCUGAUCUCAUAUUGUUAAGAAUUAAUCACCGGGCUCAAAUCUCUUACUUCAUAACCACAUGUUUGCUGCAGGCUAGGGCACAGUAUGAAUAAGAUGCACUUGGCUAGAUAUAAACAUUUGGCUUGCUAUAUAAUGAUAUGGGGUAAAAGGUCAAUGGCAUCGAGGGAGUGGGAAAGAAGAGAAACUAAAAUGUUAAUGAUUCUUGGAAAAUAAUUAAAGAGAAAUGCUUUGAAACUGCUCAUGCUUGAAUGCAUUAGAACCUGUGUAAAGACGGCCUGAGCUAGCAUUCUUUCUAUCCACACUAAACCUUUCAUUUAGUUGUCCUCCUGUAAAAUCAUUUCCAAAUUUUUCAUCAGACUGUUCCCUCUUCUUCAGGUCUCCCGCAAACAAUUCACUGCCGUGUUCAUUUAAAAUACAGUUCUUGGGCUAGCAGUGUGACUCAAUAGAUGAAGGGGCCUGCCACCAACCCUCAUCCCUUGAGUAGCAUCUCUGGUACCCAACAUAGGAGGAGAGAAUUGACUCCUAUGGGUGGUCCUUUCACCUCCUCCACAUACCUCAGCUGUUCUGUGUGCACACAAACACACACACCAAAUAAAUGAUAAAUUGCUUAAAACUAAAAAAAGCAAAUGAAAAAAAUUUAGUUCACUGAACCAAAACUUGACUCUGGAUGAGAUGUAGCCAUGUUAGUGUGGAAUCCAAUCAUGGCUUCCCUUUCACUGGAUGAUGUCUGGAUUUACAGAAUUGUUUUCGGGAGACCUGAAGAAGAGGGAACAGUUUGAUGAAAAAUUUUGAAAUCAUCUUACAGGAGGAAGACUAAAUGAAAGUUUCAGUGUGGAUAGAAAGAAUGGUAGAUGGGAGAUGUUACCUGUUACUUUUUUAAUUAAAUUUUGUUUUGUUUGUUUGUUUGUUUGUUUGAGACAGGGUACCUGUAUAGCCCUACCUGUCCUGGAAAUGGCUGUGUAAACUACCUUGGCUUGGAACUCAGAGAUCCACUGCCUCUGCCUCUCAAGUGCUGGGAUUAAAGGCGUGCGCAAUCACCUCCAGAUCUUAAAUUCAAUUCAUUUACAACUAGGACUCCAGCUCAUAACAACCACAGUGAAUGGAUCUCCUUAUUUCCAGUAAUCUAAACUAGGUAAUCCCUGGUGGGCAUGCCCAGAGCUUUGUCUCCUGCAUUGAUCUAGUUUCCAUCCAGUCCACAAUGAAGCUUACCAUCAGGAUAGUGUUCCAUACAUUUUAAAAUUCAGGUGCUAGCUCUCAGAUGAUUUGUUGGUCCAAGUCUUGUAUGUACUCACUAGGUACUCAAAACGGAACCAGCCAAUCUUGUCCUGCUUCAAUACAGCCUUUGUCUUGUUUACUGUUUAAAAGGGGACAAUGUUGGUAUGAAGCCCUGUAAUCCAUGUUUCUAUUUUUUUUCUGAAUCCUAGAUUAUUAUAUUAAGUUGUGUCUUACCUGUAUCCUCUCAUGUCUCAAAGGGACCUCAAGUUCAAAAAUUUAAAUUAGCCAAAAGUAAACCAAAAAAGUAAAUAAAUGUACUGUAUACUUUUGGAUGUAUUUCCAAAUAAAUAUGUUAUUUUUUAAAGGC